rnacentral:rRNA from 1 species
UACGUAGGUGGCAAGCGUUGUCCGGAUUUACUGGGCGUAAAGAGCGCGCAGGCGGUCGUCCAAGUCGCGUGUGAAAGCCCCCCGGCUCAACUGGGGAGGGUCACGCGAUACUGGUCGACUCGAAGGCAGGAGAGGGUAGUGGAAUUCCCGGUGUAGUGGUGAAAUGCGUAGAUAUCGGGAGGAACACCAGUGGCGAAGGCGGUUCUCUGGGACGGUACUGACGCUGAGACGCGAAAGCGUGGGGAGCGAACAGG